rnacentral:tRNA from 1 species
GCCUGGGUGGCUCAGUCAGUUGAGCGUCCGACUUCGGCUCAGGUCAUGAUCUCGUGGUCCGUGGGUUCGAGCCCCACGUCGGGCU